rnacentral:rRNA from 1 species
CUUUUACAAUGAAGAGUUUGAUCCUGGCUCAGGAUGAACGCUAGCUACAGGCUUAACACAUGCAAGUCGAGGGGCAGCAUUUUAGUUUGCUUGCAAACUGAAGAUGGCGACCGGCGCACGGGUGAGUAACACGUAUCCAACCUGCCGAUAACUCCGGGAUAGCCUUUCGAAAGAAAGAUUAAUACCGGAUGGCAUACGAAUAUCGCAUGAUAUUUUUAUUAAAGAAUUUCGGUUAUCGAUGGGGAUGCGUUCCAUUAGUUUGUUGGCGGGGUAACGGCCCACCAAGACUACGAUGGAUAGGGGUUCUGAGAGGAAGGUCCCCCACAUUGGAACUGAGACACGGUCCAAACUCCUACGGGAGGCAGCAGUGAGGAAUAUUGGUCAAUGGGCGAGAGCCUGAACCAGCCAAGUAGCGUGAGGG